rnacentral:misc_RNA from 1 species
GUAAAAUAACCGUAGAAGUACAAAUUUAAUAUCGAUACAAGUUCAAACCUCAAAAUGGCACAGGCUUUUCGAGGAAUGGGGUCAAUCUAAGCACCGCUGCAGUUGACGAUGAAAGGUUUAACAAACUUGAUGAAUUCUGAAGUCCUCACCCCCAGUUUAAGAUCAAUCUCACCGCCUCCUAACCAGAAGAAGUCAGGGCUGAGUUUGGC